rnacentral:rRNA from 1 species
CGCCUUGGACUCAGGCAGGGGAGGUGGACUACGGGGGUAGAUAGAGCGAAGAGAGAGAGAGCGGAAGAGAAAAAGGCGGCGGCGGCGGAAGCGGCCGGCCAAGGCUGCUUUAGGCCGCCAGAGUCAAUAGCACGACCGAUGGUUAGAGGAGGAGAGGAGCGCGAGACCAAAGCCACAUGAGCUGGAGGAGCAGCGGCCGCUACGAGGCCGCAGAACGUCGCCGGGUUCCUCCUCGAAGUAUGAGCCGUACACCUCGAGCUCUGCGCCGCCACCAGGUACCGUAGCUCUGGUAGGCAGAAGGAGAUGUCUUCGUCGCGCCCGGCGUCUCUGCGGGCCGAGUUAGCACGAGAGUACAGCGUCAAGAAGACGGGCUGCUUCUUCUCUCCGCUUAUCCUCUUCGUGCUACGUUCAUGUGUUCAAAAAGAGAAGAAAGGCUUUAAAAGGGCGGAGAGAAGGUCACGGCAUGAGGAUCUCGAAGAGUAGAAACACAGAAACAAAGACGUCUACAACAAAGAGAUACGGAUGUUCCACAAGCUUCUUUAAGGUUCUUCUGACUGUCCCUCAAAAACAUAGUCUUGUAUACAAAAAAAAGUUACAGAAACUUAGUAUUACAGGCCACACAUCACUACGAACUAUUUUGUAGACGAAAAUCGGGACCCUGAGUACGAAGUCGUAUACAAGGUAGUGCACUAUUAAUAUGUGAACCCCUUCGCCGACGCUAGUUCGGUGGCGGCAACUCAGCUGCCACAGCACGGAGACGCUGGCCCUAGUCCGUUCCAUCUACCCUUCUUCACCGCGGGGAGAGGGGACUCGAGGUCUAGGUACCGUCGUCGUCGUCGCUCCUGUAGGCGCUGCAUAUAGGGUUCUUCAACGGUUUGAUGUUCCGGUUCGACUUUUUAAAGAAACUUCUCGUGAACACAAUGAAACUACGCUCCCUGGUUUUACUUCUCACCUAGAUAUAUCGUCACUUCCUUCCCCCGUACUAACAAAACGGACGUCCUUACAUAGUACCUAAGUGCAACCUGUUACUGUUGAUGUAGUUUCUCUGAUACGAGGUCAACAAACAUCAACACGAGGCUUAUCUACAGGGGGAUGAAGACGGGAUGUGUAUGACCUUUGUCCUCUUACUUUCCCCACACUUCGAGCGGCAGCUGUGCGUAGCCGAAACACACGCGACGGUCGCCGGUUGGUGAGUCGUAGGUUGGUCCUCAAUGUUCCUCGCUACCGACAAGGUAUUGGGUGAAGUAAACCAAGAGUGGCUAUAACUCGCGUUACGUCCUCGUGGACCACUCGAACUCCUUGUAACAAUAACCCCGUUACUCCAAUUCUAGAUACUCGUGGUAAUAAAAGUCCAAGUGAUGUGGUUUCUCUUAGGCUACCUGAUGUAAUUGGACCUACUACUAUGUGACUUCUAGUCCUAACAACUGCCGUUAACGUACUACUAACAGCGUAGUACGACCCUUGACUGUUCUCCCGGUGGUAGUGGUGGUUGAACAGUCUCAAGACGGUGGCACGUGUGUAGGCGCUUCCUCUGUAGACGCGUAAGGCGAAGUUCCAGUGGCUUUUACGGCGGAACGAGAGUGGCACGGUAGCGGAGAUCUGCGUAAUAGCUGUUACUGUCUUAUUGUAGUGUACACGAUUAAUCAUGUGUCCUGCAACUUUCCCCGCACAGGAUGGACCGUGACGGGUCCACCGCGCGGUUCCCGCGCGGGGUUGGUGAUCAAACU